AACGAACGUUGGCGGCGUGGCUUAGGCAUGCAAGUCGUACGAGUUUCCUCUGGGUACCUGGUUUAAAAAAGUGGCGAAAGCGGCAGUAAGGCAUGGAUAAUCUACCCUGCUUACCGGGAUAGCUGUCCCAACGGGCAGUUAAUCCCGGAUGAGCUGGUGGGUCCGCAUGGUUCUGCCAGGAAAUGCGCCAGCCGUGUCGGGAGUAAUCCAUGGGAUAUUAGCUAGUUGGUGAGGUAAAGGCGCACCAAGGCGAAGAGGUCUAGCGGGUGUGAGAGCACGACGCGCGGCAUUGGACCUGAGACAGUGGCCAGACUCCGGCAGGUGGCUGAAGUGGAGGAUGUUCGGCAAUGGGCGAAAGCGUGAGCGAGCGAGGCCGCGUGAUCGUUGAAGGCCAUUAUGUUGUAAAGAUCUGUCGAGGGGGAACAAGCCGCAAGGUGGAGGGAUCCCUGGAGGAAGCACCGACUAAGUUCGUG
rnacentral:rRNA from 1 species